GACGAACGCUGGCGGCGUGCUUAACACAUGCAAGUCGAACGGAAAGGCCCUGCUUGCAGGGUACUCGAGUGGCGAACGGGUGAGUAACACGUGGGUCAUCUGCCCUGCACUUCGGGAUAAGCCUGGGAAACUGGGUCUAAUACCGGAUAGGAGCCAUUUUUAGUGUGAUGGUUGGAAAGUUUUUUCGGUGUAGGAUGAGCUCGCGGCCUAUCAGCUUGUUGGUGGGGUAAUGGCCUACCAAGGCGGCGACGGGUAGCCGGCCUGAGAGGGUGGACGGCCACAUUGGGACUGAGAUACGGCCCAGACUCCUACGGGAGGCAGCAGUGGGGAAUAUUGCACAAUGGGCGCAAGCCUGAUGCAGCGACGCCGCGUGGGGGAUAACGGCCUUCGGGUUGUAAACUCCUUUCGCUAGGGACGAAGCUUUUUGUGACGGUACCUAGAUAAGAAGCACCGGCUAACUACGUG
rnacentral:rRNA from 1 species